UCUCUCUCUCUCUCUCUCUCUCUCUCUCUCUCUCUCUCUCUCUGCAGUAUUGUUUAACAGACAUUUGCUAUUUUUAAAGUGAUUUUAUCAGGUUCUGGUUCUGUUUCUAGUAAAUUCCCAGAUGAACAGAGAGCAAACGCUUCAGUAAAGCGUUCGGAGAGCGAGAACUUGUAACUGGUCAGCAGAUGCUGGGCGUACAUGUGUAAGUUGGCGGUUGGUUAGUUAAUGUAGAACACGAACAAAACGCAUGCGUAACCUUAACCCAUAACUAACAGUGAACUUAAUAGAAACUAUGUAUUAGAUAAACCGGAUGCUCUCUUCAUAUUGAAUAAAUAUUAUUAUACGAGAAUAAAGCCAAGUUAUAAGAGAAGUAUUUUAAAUGUGUAGAGUCACAUUAACAAACACAUUAAAAUGACGGAAAGGUAACAACUUCACACACUACUAAAACUUGAAAUAUGGUUAACAUUGUCAUUCAAUCUACUUUAUAUUGCUUUAGAGAGUAUGUACGAGUAGUAUUCAAUGAAAGCACCAAAGGCGAAUGUAAGUACACUAAAUACACUAUGUCAGCUAGUUUUGUUCCCUUAGCGAAAACGAAAUAUUCUUGAGUUUUCUGAACAGUCAAUUUAAAGGACCAUGGUCACGAUCUUGGUCAAAUUCUAUUUUUCUGUUUUUAUUUUUUACAAUGCUUUAGUAAUGCAUUUCUAAUGAUCAAAUGAAAUUUAAGAAUCAGUCAUUUUGUCAUAAGGAAGAUACAGAGCUCAAAAUUCUUUGUCCUGUAAACAAAGUUCUUGCCCUAUAUUUGUUUACAUAGUUUCAAUAUACCAGUAAAAUUUUUUUUCACGAUUUGUCUAUCUUCUUAAUCAUUUUAAGCAUUAAUAAAUAGUUCCUAACGUUUAACACUUUUAUUCUUGGUUUUAAGUUGGCUCUAUACACCCACAAUUUAUUCCAACAUUCAAUAAAAGACCAUAAAACAGAUACUUAUCAAAUAUGAAAAUGAUGAUAGUGAUACUAUAGGUAUAUUUAAAGAUUUUUAAAAAUGUUUUUUUGUGUUUUAGUAAAAUAAUUUCUUAAAAGUUAAUAAUUAACAAAUUGAAAGAAAUGUUUUUGUCUUAUGAUACAUAACAAAGAAUCGCUUAUAACAAAAAAGAAUGGCUCUCAAAUUUUGGUUGCCUAUUAAAAAUGCCUUACUGAAGCACUGUAUACAUUAAAAUUGGAAAAAUAAUUUUUGACCAAAAUUGUGACCAUGCCCCUUUUAAGGUCGACUUCUGUACAAUGUGCAUGCAAUGUAUAAUUUAUAAUGCAAAGUUUGUUUUAGCCAAUGAGAGCUAUGUGGCAAAAGAAUGAUGGUUAUUAUUACAGAAUACUUCACAACAAAGCACACAGACAGAUAGGCAUCACACUGAAAAGAUAACGCUUACAACAAAACACGCAAUCAAUGAAAAAAGACGUUUGGAGCUAUGACAGAGAUCCUUUCCAAAGAUGCUUUACACUUAGUUUUUGUAAAGGUAAAAUAUAUAGAUACAAAAAAGGCAUGGAUGUUGCUGCUGAUAUGAAUGACAUCACCACUGUACAUUUAAGGACAUCACCAGAGAGAAGUUUUUAUUGGAAAAAAACCCACGGAUUUUAACGAACUUCAGAUACCUUACAUGCAGUUAGCAGCCAUUUCUUUUGAACAAGACCCUCUUGUUUCAUAUGAGCAUAAUCAGUAAUAUGAGUGAAGGUGGAAACAAACAAACAGAAUUCACAUUUAAAGGUAGCAUUCUGAGGCGGCAAGGGCAGCCAGUGCUGAUGAUAGACUAAAUCAGAUUGUCAAUUUUUAUUGUAUCAUCCUCCAAACCAUACUUAAUGGGAGACAACUUUUAAAACACUUAUACACAAAUCUAAGAUCUAAUCUUAUUGAAUGUUUCAAGGAUAAAAUUUCAGGAAUUAAUGAACAUAUAAAACUAUCAAGGAAAAGGAUAGAAAAAAGUCAACUGUAUCAAAUUAUAAGCGAGAAAUAUUAGUGUUUUCUGUUUACGAGUAGACUACGAUGCAAAAGAUGAUAUGAUUGUUGUUAUCAGUUUAAAGCUGCUCUAUAAGAAAGAGUUAGCAAUCCAUCAUGAAAAUACUGAUGUGUUAAGCUCAGCUUGUUCCAGUAAUACGUCAUCAAUUUAACCUUUUGUUUUUAAGAAAGUAAUUCCAUCUCUUUUGUGCAAAGACUUGUAUCAUUUUUACAUAUAUUAGUAAAGUGAAAGUUAUUUACGUACGAGAAACCAUUAUUGGCAUAUUACACUGUUUUAAGUGAGUCACCAUCAUGCCCUAAAGGGUAUGUAUUUUUAGAUCAACAAAUGUGAUUAAAAAUUUAGAAUUAUUGAAUUCAUAUUUGAUGUUUUCAAAUGAACAUAUGGUUUAUGAGUGGUCUCUAUAUAUAGAGAGAAUAUCUAUAUUACGUCCCGUUUUGUAAUUUUAACAGUACAUAGUUCUGAGUUAUACAUGUAGAUUUAUCAUUGUUAUGUACAUGUAGUUUAAAUUUUGUGAAUGUCGUUUGUGAAUUCAUGAUACUGAAUUGAAUAGAAUCAGUUUAGUGCGAAUAAAGUCGGUAUUACGGUUUUGAUCUGCAAUGAGAUUUCAGACGUUUUAAGUAUACAUGUAUAUGUAUAUAAUUAUGUGUUCUGCUAAUUGCAAAAGUUUUGAAAAAUAAAUUCGUACUUAAUACAUGUGCAUCUUCUACAAAGAGACUUACAUUGUAAGGUGUUCAUAAAGCAAACAAAUAAGGUGUAUGUGUUAUUUUCUAUAAAAAUUAUUCCAUGUUUUUUUUUUCGAGCACUAAUUCAUUGAGUGGUAAUGAUCUAAGUAUGUUAUAUAGGGCGUAAAAACAAAGCUUAUUUUAAGUGUUAUUUUUAGUAUUGGUUGCAACAGGAAUUAAGUUGGUAUUAAGUUAAGGAAGAUCAUUAUAACUUCGAUAUAUACAAUUUGAAAAUAUCAGUUUUAUAACAUAUUCUCAUAUAUCUUCCUUUAAUUAAACCAAUUAAAUAAUAAAUAUGACAUUUUUUUUUAUUAUUUUCUGAAAUGUGGUGAUGAACAAAUAGAUUUGAAACUUGUUCU